rnacentral:rRNA from 1 species
CCUACAAAAAUCAAAGAAAACUUGGACAAGAAUUUAUAAAGAACUAAUUUAUUCAAUUCUGCAAAAUUCACCUAAAGAGUGUUAAUUUAAGUUGGUUUUCCACAAUUUGCAUAGGAUAUGUGCCAUAAAAUGAUGGUGAAAAGUGUAUACUUUUUGCACUUAUCAAUGUGCCUCAGUCGGAUGUGGAACGGUGAGAGCCUGACCUCCAAUCGACUCGGGGCAUGGAACUACGCGAAUUGUGAUGGUGGCCCAAGCCCGGGCUAUUGACAUGCUUGCAGAGACGUCAUCAUCGCGAUUAUGGUUGGAAGCGCACACCAUCUCGGUGUGCUUCAGCACCUAUGUGCUCUAGGUGCCAGCUUGUGUGUUCCCCAUUCGGCUUGUCUUGAAACAUAUACCAAGGAGUCUGACAUGUGUGAGAGUCGGCGAGAUCGUAAACUCGUAAGGCGCAUGGGAGAUGAUUGGUGGGAUCCCCUUGUGGGUGGCACCACUUACCGACCUUCAUCUUCUAUGAAGGGUUCGAGUGAGAGCAUACAUGUUGGGACCCGAAAGAUGGUGAACUGUAGUGACGUGCAAAUGAUUUGUCUGAUUUGGGUAUAAAGGCGAAAGACUAAUCGAACCGUCUGACUUGGGUAUAGUAGUUGGUUCCCUCUGAAGUUUCGCUCAGGAUAGUUGGAGCCCACAGGCAAGUUCUAUUGGUUAAAGCCAAUAUGAUUAGAGGCAUCGGGGGCGCAACGCCCUCGACCAUUUCUCAAAUUUUAAAUAGGUAGGACGGUGUGGCUGUUUUGUUGAGCCACGCGAAAAAAUUGAGAGCUCCAAUGGGACAUUAUUGGUAAGUAGAAUUGGUGAUGUAGGAUGAACCGGAAGCUAGGUUAUGAUGCCCAACUACACGCUAACCUAGACCUCACAAAGGUUGUGGGUCCAUUAAGACAACAUGACGAUGGUCAUGAAAGUCGAAAUCCGCUAAGGAGUGUCCAACAACUCACCUACCGAAUCAAAUAGCACCAAAAAGGGAUGGUGCUAAAGUGUGCGACCUAUACCCGACCUUCAGGGUAAGGGCCAAGCCCCGUCGUGUAGGAGGGCGGGGCAGUCAUUAAAAAACCUGGGAAGUGAGCUCGGGCAGAACGGUCAACGAUGCAGAUCUUGGUGGUAGCUUCAAAUAUUUAAAUGAGAAUAUGCAAAUAUUCAUGUGAACAUCCCUUGCACAUAGGUUAGUCGAUCCUAAGGGACAAGGGAAGUUCUUUUGAUAGCGCUCUAUGUGCGCACUCUGAAAGGGAAUAUGGUUAAAAUUCAUGAACCGGGGUGUGGCGGUUGAUGGAAACCUUAGGGAGUCCGAAGACGUUAGUGGCCCCCCAGAAAGAGUUAUCUUUUCUUUUUUAAAAGCCUAUCCAUCCUAGAAACGGUGCAGCCAGAGGUGGGGUCCAGUGCCUGGAAGAGCACCGCAUGUUGCAUGGUGCCCAGUGCGCCCUUGGCGACCCUUGAAAAUCCGUAGGAGCGCGUUCCUCCCACAGCUGAUCAUAAUCAUAACCAUAUCAGGUGUCCAAGGUGAAUAACCUAUGGUAAAUGGAAAAAUAUUGGCGAGGGAAGUUUGAAAAAUGGAUCUAUAACCUCAGGAAAAAGGAUUGGUUCUAAGGGAUGGGUACGUGGGUCCUAGUCCCAAACCCGUUGGUGUGUCAUCGCGUAUCGGUCGGGGGACGGAUUGGGAAUGGGCCCUUCAUGGCCUUUUCCUUGUGUAUCGAACAAUCGACUCAGAACUGGUACGGACAAGGGAAAUCCGACUGACUCUAGUCUGACUUUGUGAAAUGACUUGAGAGGUGUAGGAUAAGUGGGAGUUGGAAACAAUGGAAAUGAAAUACCACUACUUUUAACAUUAUUUUACCUAUUCCGUGAAUCGGAGGCGGGGCAUAACCCCUGUUUUUGGACCCACGGUCUGCCUCGGUCGGUCGAUUCCGGCAGAAGACAUUGUGAGGUGGGGAGUUUGGAGUUUGGUUGGGGUGACACAUCUGUUUAAAGAUAAUGCAAGUGUCAUAAGAUGAGCUCAAUGAGAACAUAAAUCUCGUGUGGAAUAAAAGGGUAAAAGCUCGUUCGAUUCUGAUUUCCAGUACGAAUAUGAACCACAAAAGCAUGGCCUAACGAUUCUUUAGUCCUUCAAAAUUUGAAUGUUGAGGUGUCAGAAACGUUACCACAUGGAUAAUUGGCUUGUGGCAGCCAAGCGUCCAUAACGACAUUGAUUUUUUAUCCUACCAUGUCGGCUCUUCCUAUCAUUGUAAAGCAGAAUUCACCAAGUUUUGGAUUGUUCACCCACCAAUAGGGAUCAUGAGUUGGGUUUAGACCAUCGUGAGACAAGUUAGUUUUACUCUACUAAUGAUAGUGUCUCAAUAGUAAUUCAAUCUAGUACGAGAGGAACCAUUGAGUUGCACAAUUGGUCAUCGCGUAUGGUUGAAAAGCCAGUGGCACAAAGCUACAGCGCAUUGGAUCAUGACUAAACGUUUCUAAGUCAGAAUCCGGCCUAGAAGCGAUGCGUGUACGCAUUGCCCAUUUGCCGACCAGCAAUAGGGGGCCUCGA